UAAUACAUGCAAGUCGAGCGGACAGAAGGGAGCUUGCUCCCGGAUGUUAGCGGCGGACGGGUGAGUAACACGUGGGUAACCUGCCUGUAAGACUGGGAUAACUCCGGGAAACCGGAGCUAAUACCGGAUAGUUCCUUGAACCGCAUGGUUCAAGGAUGAAAGACGGUUUCGGCUGUCACUUACAGAUGGACCCGCGGCGCAUUAGCUAGUUGGUGGGGUAAUGGCUCACCAAGGCGACGAUGCGUAGCCGACCUGAGAGGGUGAUCGGCCACACUGGGACUGAGACACGGCCCAGACUCCUACGGGAGGCAGCAGUAGGGAAUCUUCCGCAAUGGACGAAAGUCUGACGGAGCAACGCCGCGUGAGUGAUGAAGGUUUUCGGAUCGUAAAGCUCUGUUGUUAGGGAAGAACAAGUGCGAGAGUAACUGCUCGCACCUUGACGGUACCUAACCAGAAAGCCACGGCUAACUACGUGCCAGCAGCCGCGGUAAUACGUAGGUG
rnacentral:rRNA from 1 species